UGAAUGGCAUCACAACGUUCCUAAGACUCUUAUCGCCGAGUAGAAUUGGUGUGGGUGCUUGCUUUUCCUGGCAGUUACUAUUUCAAUCCAAAGAAACCUCAGUUUUAUGACAUAUGUGUCAUCAUCAAGGUUGUGGGGGUGGAUAUGAAUUGGAAGAAAUCAGUCAGCGAAUUACCAGCCAGUUGGGUACUACGACAACCGUCUGUUUUUACUAAUAAUGGUCCACAGGCGAAUCUCAUAUCGCCCCAAUAACCAUCAUCAGUUCCCUUUGGUGGGGUUGGACCUGUGAAAUAUCGCAUAGAGGAAUUAUGUCAUUGUCGUCUGGGCGAGGAUCGCGAGAGAAUUGCAGACAACAUUCCUCCUGCUUACCAUUUCCUCCUCCCGUGACAACUACCCCAACACUUUCUUCUGUGUUUCGUUGUGACUUUAUGCUUCUAGCAGAAUAUUCACAAGAACGACUCUUUCUCAUCAUGUUGUUGUAUUCUCGAAGCCACC
rnacentral:sRNA from 1 species